rnacentral:rRNA from 1 species
UACAGAGGUCCCGAGCGUUGUUCGGAUUCACUGGGCGUAAAGGGUGCGCAGGUGGGUUGGCAAGUUUGAUGUGAAAGCUCAGGGCUUAACCCUGAAAUGGCAUUGAAUACUGUUGGGCUGGAGGUUUGGAGGGGGGACUGGAAUUCUUGGUGUAGCAGUGAAAUGCGCAGAUAUCAGGAGGAACACCGAUGGCGAAGGCAGGUCUCUGGGCAGUUACUGACGCUGAGGAGCGAAAGCAUGGGGAGCGAACAGG